rfam:Picea glauca, whole genome shotgun sequence.
UCUUAUGUACAUUCCUACAAUGCUAAUGCAUUAGAUCCCAUCAUAACAUUGCAGUUAAGCACACUUGGGAUAUAGUAGUAAUGGGAAGGGUGACCUCUGAGGAAUUCCAAGUGUAUUACAU